CCGCAUUCAACAAAAACCAAAUACAACUUUAAAUAAUAGUCCCAAGAUCCUUAAAAAAAUAGCAAAAAUGAGAAAAUAAAUGAGUGUGUGUGUGUGUGUGUGUGUGUGUGUGUGUGUGUGUGUGUGUGUGUGUGUGUGUGUGUGUGUGUAAAGUCCAGUUCUUUUGUAUAUGUCCAAAAUGUAAGUGUGUGAGUGACGUGUGUGUGUGGGGGGAAUGCUAUGUGGGUGUAUGUGAAAAAAAAGAGUCCAGUUCAAGUUUGUUGGUAUGUGGUGUGGAGUGUUGUAGGUGUAUGGGGGGAGGGAGGUGGAAG